AUGGGGAAACAGAACUCCUCACUGCCCCCUCACCCCCUUUACCACACCAUCCAGACUUCCGGUGUUCAAGAUAUUCCUCUGAUGACACCAGAGGGUCUUUGGGGACUGGACCAGCUGAAGGACUUAUUCCAGAGACUUUGGUCAGAGAAGUGGCAAUUGAGCAUUAACCCUGAACCCUUCAGAAAGCAGAGUCAUCCUACAGACUCUGUAGUUUGUCAGCAUGUGGGUGGCAUGUUCAGUGAGAAAUGGAUCCUCCUCACAUCAAAAGCACAGUUUUAUUUCAAUAGACAUUCCUUGAACUGGUAACAGUUAUGGUGACAAUAUGACUUUUGCCAAUUACUGGAUCUUUUUUUUUGUUUUGCUAUUUUAAACAAUAUCAUUGUUCUGUGAGCCAAAUGUGGUGGCUUCAUUGCUGGGCAAGUCUCCUGGGAGAGAAACUGGAGGAACUCAGAGCACAUGGGUUGUGCAGUCUGUCCCAGAGAAAAGUGGCAGGUUCAGAUGGGUGUGUAUGUACUUUCUGCCUGAAUUCUUUCAGUACCAGUUCCUAAAAUUGUGCCCUUUAUUUUGAGAACCCUAAAAAGCAAUUAAUGUAGUAAGGAAGUGGCAAUUUGGGCCCCUAAUGGGUGGAAGUUUAUGUAUUUAUUCAUGUGUAUUGUUUGAACACCUGAAGUCUCAGUGGUGGUCUUUGUGGUGGGAGCUAAGUAUACAGUGAAAAUCAUCUAGUAGACAGGAUCAUGAGGUGGUUGCUGCUAAGUCGCUUCAGUCGUGUCCGACUCUUGUGACCCAUAGACGGCAGCCCACGAGGCUCCCCGGUGCCUGGGAUUCUCCAGGCAAGAACACUGGAGUGGGUUGCCAUUUCCUUCUCCAGUGCAUGAAAGUGAAAAGUGAAAGUGAAUCGCUCAGUCGUGUCUGACUCUUAGCGACUCCAUGGACUGCGGCCCACCAGGAUCCUCCAUCCAUGAGAUUUUCCAGGCAAGAGUGCUGGAGUGGGGUGCCAUUACCUUCUCUGCAUGAGGUGGUAGAGGAGAUAAAAUGUAAACAAGUCAUUUCAAUGUCAAAAUUAUAUAAAAAUCCUGUGCUCUGAGUGAAACAUGGUACAAUGGGGGCGCAGAGAAGGGACACCAUGCCCAGUUCAUUUUAAGCACAAGGUCUAGCAUUAGACAGCUGAGAAGAAUUCUUAAAUGUUGUGUUGAAAUUGAAGAAAACCUCUUCUUUGAACACACUGUCUUCAUAAGGUGUAGCAGGAAUUUGGAGGUCAUAACAUUCCAGCAGACUUUACACCUAAAAAUCACUUAGGGACUAGAAGUUCAAAGCCUUAAUGACAGCAACAGUAUGAUACACAUCUGGUGCUUUCUGCUUCCUGCUCUAAUAAGUAGAUUCCUCCUGCGGAGUUGACUUUUUAUUUCUCACAGUAUUCAACACUUGCAUCUUGUCAUAAGAACUAUUCCAUCCCAUGUAUUAUUAUUUCUUAUUUAAUGUUAAUAAUUCUAUUUAUGUGUGAAUAGGUGAUAAAUCAUACAAAAUAUAAAGCCCACAGAAGAAUAUGUCAGGUAUUUUUUGUCUCAAAUAUGCAGGUCCAUUCCUAUUUUGCUCAUGGAUACCAGUUUCUUUCAUGUUUCCAGAGAUAGAAGAUAAUAUAUUCAUAUAUUGAUUAUGUUUUAAAUCAGUAAUGCAAUUUACACACUUUCUGCAUCUUUAUUUAUUUAUUUAUUUAUGAUACAUCUUGGAGAUUUUCUCACAUUACCACAAAUACAGCUUCCUUUUUACUUUAGUGAUAUAGAGCAUUCCUGUGUAAUUGUGUCUCAGCAUUUACCUCACUAGUAUGUGAUAGGGGGACUUUAAAGAUGUUUCCAGUCUUUUGGAAUUAUAACAAUCCUUCAAUGAAUGUACCACCAUUCAUUCCAUAUUCAGCUUGGGUACAUAAAUGUUUAAGAUAAGUCCUUAAGUGAGAACUUGCUGGAUCAGCAGUGUUUGCAUUUAAAUUUUGGUAUACAUCUGUAUCAAUCUGCACUCCUCCUAGCAAAUAUCAGGCUGCCAAUUUCCUGUAACCCUUGCCAGGCCAGUGUCCUGUCAAAACUAUACUUCUUGGCCCACUGAGAGGUGACACAGUUAUCUCCUAAUUAUACUUUGCAUACCUUUUAUAAUCAGCAAAGGUAAACAUUUUAAUUAUCUUCUUAUAUGUUUACCCAUUUAAAAAAUGUGGUUGUUGCCCUUUCCUUGCUGAUUUAUGUGGGGUUGUUAGAUCGAGUCUAAAGAAACUCUCUCCAUAUCUAUAUCAUAGGUGACUGUCCCUUCUCUUUAUGCUUUGCUGAAAACUUUGCUAUGAAUCAAUCAUUAUCUUUUAACUCAUUUUCCAUUUCUUUAAAUCAACCAAGUCAAUCAAAAUUAUUUAGAUAUUUAGAUAUCAGGCCCUGAUUCUUUGGUAAUAAUUUCUUAUUUUUAAACUUUUCUUGACUGAAACUACUGUGACAUAUACUUCAAAGAUGAGCCACCCUUACAUGAAGUUUUUUUUCAUGUACUUAACAGGAGUUGUCAGCUCAUUUAACAAC
rnacentral:lncRNA from 1 species